CGGUUCUAAAUUAGGACAUAAUCACCAUUCGCCACUGCACUGCACCUGCGUCGCUCCCCACCACUGCCAAAAUUUAUCCAAAUACCCGCGCAGAAGAGAGCGCUUAUAGCAAGAAACAAAUACAGUGAUCAUUAAAAACUUGUAUUCCCACAUCUACGGCUAUGGCUUUCACUCCCAUUUAACUUCUCCCUCUUAUCUCCUUCUUCUCCUCUUCUUUGCAUGAUACAAAAAGAAUUUCUUUCCCAUUUUGUUUUUCUCCUUUUCGAUGAGUUGCGGAGCAAUCCUCAGCCUUUCAACUAAUGCUGUUGCUACCAGAAGAAUCCGAUUCCAUAACCCCAAAUUCUGCACCAGAACUCUACACCCAUUAUCCUACUCCCUUUUUCAGGUGAAUUUUGGUGGGAAUCAUCGGCUUAGGCUUAGCAGUAUCAGACGGCUUCAUUUGUCUCCAAAUGCAACCUCUCUCGAGCUUCCUCUUCUUCCUUUUAACAUGGGCGAGGUUUUGGUUCCAUCAGAAAGUAAGGUUCUGCAUUUAUACGAAGCUAGAUAUCUUGCUCUGCUAGAGGAGUCUUUAUUGAGAAAGAAGAAGGUUUUCGUACAUUUUGUGUUGGAUCCCAUUCUUAUUAGCAGUUCAGGAACUGAGGCAUCAUUUGCAGCUAGAUAUGGCUGUUUGGUUUUUAUAGAAAAUGUUGAGCGUUUAGAUGUUGGAGCAUUAGUCUCCAUAAGGGGAAUUGGUCGUGUCAAGCUUGUGAAAUUUUUGCAGUCAAAUCCUUACUUGAUAGGUGAAGUCAUACCAUUACAGGACCGGGUUCCUGAUGAUCCAAGUAAAAUAGACUCCAAACUUAUAGCAGUAAAGGAGGCUCUUUACAGUCUAAAUAGCUUGGAAAUUAAAUUAAAGGCUCCCAAAGAAGCAUUGUUGCAGACUCGUAUUGCAAACUCACUAACAUGGGCUAAAAAGGAGCCAUCCUUGGAAUGUGAUAAAGCUUUCAUUCCAUCUCUGGCUGAGCGUAUAUCCUUCACAGCACUACAACCUAUUUCAGGUUCUACUGAAUCAGAAAUGCUCAAGUUGCAGCAACAGAAGCUAAGAGCAAUGGAUGUGAAAGAGACGCUACAAAGGCUAGAUGAUUCCUUAGAAUUAGUUAAUGAGAACAUCUCCAUUGUUGCAGCAAAGCUUGCUAUCCAAUCACUAGAAAUGCAGUAGGUGUGGAAGUUAAUAGCUGAGGUCUUGUGGCGUCGCGAUAGAGAUCAUUUUGCCUAAUCCCCAUCGUCUCCCGGCUAAGGAUGCCGGCCUUAUUCAGUGGGGCGAGUGGAGCCUCGAGUUGAGAAGCACUGCUGAGAGGUAGGAAGAUCCAACAUUGAAAGAAAAGCUAUGAUUUGUUAUUAUGUAACCAUUUUUUUCUUGAGGUACAGGCCUAACCAAAAAAAAAAAAAGUUAUUGUUGAUAUUGUAAACCAAGGUUAUAAUUGUAAAUUGAUUUGUUUGUACCAAUUUAAGGAUAUGAAUGAAUCUUCUAAAAUCAUGGCUACUGUCUUCAUUUGAUAAAUUUGUGCUACUAAUGACUCCAUGCAAGGGUUAAAACUUUAUGGCCAAGGAGCUUGGAGACAAAUUGAAGGUGUAAUUGGGCAAGAAGGUUCAUUUCUUGAGCGCAUUUCUUUCCUACUCCAUGAGUCUUGAGUCAUUUUGUUCUUUUGCAU
rnacentral:misc_RNA from 1 species